UAUUCUCUAAGCAAGUCGAAAAACAAGUCAGCGCCGACCAGCAUGUCGACGCCUUUAGGAUUAAAAAAUUUGGGUCUGCCAGGAAGAUACCAUUUUGAAUUGUAUCAAAUCCGCUCAUCCGACGUCAACAUGACGGCUGAGAACCAGUGAGUCUACCUGGGGAUGCCAAUAAUUGCUCAGGGGUAGUAGUGAAUAUCCAGCUGCGCAAACCACUGGAUUUCUUAAAAACAUCGCAUAGCCGUAUUUUAUUGUAGUUUUAGUAUGAACCAGUGCGCAGCAACACAUUGAGAUCAAAGCACAUCGUGUCCAAGCAUUAUCCUCAUACCUGUUUCGGCCAUAUUACCACUCUUUUUUAGGGUGUAAACGUAAAAUAGUUUACAUUUAAACAAUUAUAUCUGGCGAACGGAAGACACGAUUUUCAUGGGUCAAAAGCAGGUGAAGUUGGGUUUACACAACCGAUUAUAAGAAAUUUAAUUCGCAUUAUGCCAUCACGAACCUUGAGGGAGUUGGACUCGGGAUCGAAACGAAAGCAGGGGUAUAGCUCUCUUCAGCUCCGCAUUAGCUGUUAAGAAGCUGUUGGAGGUGCAGUCCAUUAGAUCGCCAAUGAAGAUGUCGUCGGAGAUCGUAUUAAAGACCUUACUUUGUGUAUGAUCUUGUAUGGACACGCCCGGCAGGAUGGCCAUGGAGGGAGCGAAGUGUCACUGGCUAUGAUCCUGUUCGAUUGGAUUAUAUCUUAAGCUUUCACUUCUUUUUUGAUUCGACCGGUUCUGGUAUUUCUUCCUGUGGGUCACGUCCCACAAUAAUGGGAAACAUCUUGUUCUGAACUCCUGAAUCCGUUUUUAAAGUAA